AUGAACACUUUAUCAUUAAUUACAAUUAAAAAAGCCACAUACAUAUAUAUACAUAUAUUUUUAUUAUGUAAGACAUAUAAGUAAAGCACCAUAUACAUUUAUCUUUAUAAAAUUAUACUUCAUUGCAAAAUAGUUAAGAAAAAUAAGUGUCAAUGGUAUACUUGUAAACAGUAAGAUUUUUAUUUAAGGAACCCCUUAUUUUGAUGUGACUAUUGUUUGGUUCUCUAAAUGGAGGCUCAAAUGUAUUACUUGGAGAUGUGCUUUGUUUGAAUUCUUAACAGCCUACUGUUGGCAAUAUCACUCAAGUCCAAUGUGUAGGAGUUUUUAUGUAAGUAUUUUUCUCUAACUCGGUGUUAUAUAUGUGUUUCUAAAUUUUGUUAGAGGCUAGUCAGAGGCAGAGGUUGAUUUAUACUUGUAAUAAUUUUUAUUGGAAUAUAUUAUAGGAUUGGAAUUGGACCGGAAGUCACGUAAAGAGGAAGAGGAAGAGAAAGAUAAAUACUUUUUUGAUCCCUACGAAGAUGACUUGGAGAAAAGAUCUUGCAAAAUUGCCUAUGGUGAUGGAAAGGAUGACUGCUGCAAGUCUAGUAAAUCUAAAAAACUUAGACCACUACCUAAAUAUAAUGACAUAUUGGAUUGAAUACGUAGUGAACAAACAGUCUUCAGUAGCUGAAGUGGAACCUGCCGCUGCAUCAGAUCUAAAACUUUUACUGGUGUGGAAGUUCCGUCCAAGCUCUGUCCAAGCUCCCCCAUACCAGCCAAAGCUCCAAUAAAAAUUUUCUUCAGCUUAAGUUAUGAUGGAAGAGAGUAGUGGUUCAAUCGAUGUAAAGAAGAAUAGUGAUUCAAUCGUUGUGAAGAAGAGAAAAUGUCAAUGCGGGGCUGAAUGUGUAGUAAGAAAAAAUAAAAAUAAUGGCGAAUUAUUUUAUGGUUGUCCGUUGUGGAAGGUAAUUAAUUUUUGUUGAAUUUUAAGAAUUCAAGCACAUAUAUUAUAUGAUAAACUUUAUUGAUUAUUUGCUAUAUGCAGAAUAAAACUGAUCAAGGCUGUAGAUUUCAAGGACUUGUUGAAGAUGAAAGGUCGACCGCUUUAAAAUCAUUUGAUACCAAAGAAAUAAAUCGAUUGUUGGCGGCAAUAAAUUCAAUUGUGCAGUUAUUGUUGGAGAUGAACAUUGUUUUUAAUAAAAUAGUUGAUUUGUUGUCGAAGAUGAAUAUUAUGUUUGCUAAAAUGUUACAAUGUAUAAUUAUUUAUUUUGUUAUAUAUUUGUUAUUUAAAUGUUUGUAUAUGUGAAAGUUCAAUAAUAAAUAUUUUUAUGUAGUAUUGAGUGUUAUCGAUCAGUAAAUAUAAUUUAAAUUAUAGUAAUAUUUUUAAUUUUAAUUUUAAUUUUUAUUAUAUUAACAUGUAAUGAAAAAAACAAAAAAGCAUUAGAGGCGAAUUGGUCUGCCGCUACUAAUAAUGUCAGUUUAUGUGUCUGACACUAUUAUUAGCGGUGGAGGUGUCAGUCUGCUGCUAAUACCCAUUUUUAGCGACCAAGCAUUACCGGCGGACCCCGCCGCUAUUAAGUUUUACCAGCGAACUUGGGGAUUAUUACCAGCGGAAUCCUCCACC